rnacentral:rRNA from 1 species
GGAGUAACCUGCCCUGGAGACAAGGACAACCCCGGGAAACCUGGGAUUAAUCCUUGAUAGGUCAUCUCAUCUGGAAGGAGAGAUGGCUUAAAGGGGUACGCGGGCUUCUUCCGCGAAUCCGCUCCAGGAUGGGACUGCGUCCGAUCAGGCUGUUGGCGGGGUAAUGGCCCACCAAACCUGUAACCGGUACGGGCCUUGAGAGAGGUGGCCCGGAGAUGGACACUGAGAGAAGGGUCCAGGUCCUACGGGGCGCAGCAGGCGCGAAACCUUCGCAAUGCGCGAAAGCGUGACGAGGUUAAUCCGAGUGACUUCCGCUGAGGAGGUCUUUUGUCAGCUGUAAAUAGGCAGGCGAAUAAGGGGAGGGCAAGCCUGGUGUCAGCCGCCGCGGUAAUACCAGCUCCUCGAGUGGUCGGGGCGAUUAUUGGGCCUAAAGCAUCCGUAGCCGGUUCCGUAGGUCCUCUGUUAAAUCCAACCGCUUAACGGUUGACCUGCAGAGGAUACCGCGGGACUAGNAGGCGGGAGAGGCGGACGGUACUCC